ensembl:lncRNA
GAUUAUUUUCCUGCUGUAGCAAACUGCUCAAAUGAAGACCCUACAUCUGUAGAAACAUACGUGUUUCACUGCACCUGUGAAAACAUCUACUGGACACCCCUAUCCCGCCCAGGCGGGGGCACACAUAGUUCCACACCCCGAUGCUCCCACGUCGGAUCUUCUGGCCCACAGCCAGCUCCAGGAAGAAGAGCGGGAUGCCGAUGAGGAUGAGGAGGAUGAAGUAUGGGACGAGGUUUAUGAUGCCCCCACCCCCAUAAAUACCUUUCCCCCUUCUCUCUCCACUCUACAAAAAUGGACUUAUGAAAAUCUAUUGUUUCCAGAGAGAGUUUGCAAUACAGUAACAUCAAAAGGUUGGGUAUGGAACAAUAUUUCUGUAAUCCAACCAGUUGAAAGUAUCCGUUGGUACUUAAAACAUUAAUAUUAAAGAAUAUUUG